UGAGGAAUUUUGCGCAAUGGGAGCAAUCCUGACGCAGCAACGCCGCGUGGGUGAUGAAGGCCUUCGGGUCGUAAAGCCCUGUCAGGUGGGAAGAAUGUCCCGGAACUGAACAGGUUUCGGGAGUGACGGUACCACCAGAGGAAGCACCGGCUAACUCCGUGCCAGCAGCCGCGGUAAUAAGGAGGGUGCAAGCGUUAUUCGGAAUUACUGGGCGUAAAGCGCGUGUAGGCGGUCCUGCACGUCGGAUGUGAAAGCCCCGGGCUUAACCCGGGAAGUGCAUUGGAAACUGCAGGUCUUGAGUACUGGAGAGGAUGGGGGAAUUCCCGGUGUAGAGGUGAAAUUCGUAGAGAUCGGGAGGAAUAUCAGUGGCGAAGGCGCCCAUCUGGACGGUAACUGACGCUGAGACGCGAAAGCGUGGGGAGCAAACA
rnacentral:rRNA from 1 species